GGCAUAUUUUCUCGCGCCUAUACAUGCUGUCGAGCGGACAGAUGGGAGCUUGCUCCCUGAUGUUAGCGGCGGACGGGUGAGUAACACGUGGGUAACCUGCCUGUAAGACUGGGAUAACUCCGGGAAACCGGGGCUAAUACCGGAUGGUUGUUUGAACCGCAUGGUUCAAACAUAAAAGGUGGCUUUGGCUACCACUUACAGAUGGACCCGCGGCGCAUUAGCUAGUUGGUGAGGUAACGGCUCACCAAGGCAACGAUGCGUAGCCGACCUGAGAGGGUGAUCGGCCACACUGGGACUGAGACACGGCCCAGACUCCUACGGGAGGCAGCAGUAGGGAAUCUUCCGCAAUGGACGAAAGUCUGACGGAGCAACGCCGCGUGAGUGAUGAAGGUUUUCGGAUCGUAAAGCUCUGUUGUUAGGGAAGAACAAGUACCGUUCGAAUAGGGCGGUACCUUGACGGUACCUAACCAGAAAGCCACGGCUAACUACGUGCCAGCAGCCGCGGUAAUACGUAGGUGGCAAGCGUUGUCCGGAAUUAUUGGGCGUAAAGGGCUCGCAGGCGGUUUCUUAAGUCUGAUGUGAAAGCCCCCGGCUCAACCGGGGAGGGUCAUUGGAAACUGGGGAACUUGAGUGCAGAAGAGGAGAGUGGAAUUCCACGUGUAGCGGUGAAAUGCGUAGAGAUGUGGAGGAACACCAGUGGCGAAGGCGACUCUCUGGUCUGUAACUGACGCUGAGGAGCGAAAGCGUGGGGAGCGAACAGGAUUAGAUACCCUGGUAGUCCACGCCGUAAACGAUGAGUG
rnacentral:rRNA from 1 species